rnacentral:rRNA from 1 species
CCCUUAGAUGUUCUGGGCCGCACGCGCGCUACACUGAUGAAUUCAACGAGCCUAGCCUUGUCCGAAAGGUCCGGGUAAUCUCUGAAACUUCAUCGUGAUGGGGGUAGAUCAUUGCAAUUAUUGAUCUUCAACGAGGAAUUCCUAGUAAGCGCAAGUCAUCAGCUUGCGUUGAUUACGUCCCUGCCCUUUGUACACACCGCCCGUCGCUUGUACCGAUUGGAUGGUCCGGUGAAAUCUUCGGAUAGCUGGUAGUUGGCUUGCCAUCUACUGCUAAAAGUUGCUUAAACCUUAUCAUCUAGAGGAACAAGAAGUCGUAACA